GUAGAAGCUCUGAGCUGUCCGAUCUGGUCCAUUGUUUACUGAGGUGGCCCAAGGAGAACUCCUGAUUGACAUGUAUACUAUGGUGCAUUGAGUUGGUUGCAACCUCACCAGUGCGCUGACAAUAAACAAUGAUUGAUUUAAGAUUGACUUCGAGUGUCCCUGUUUAAGAAUUUCCACAACAUAAGUAUACCGGAAGUUCUAUUAGCAUACUUGGGAGGUCUGGAAAACGAAGCACACAUGGGAGCAUACUUUUUAGUUCCCUUCGCCAGGGAAGCUAUCCCAUAACACUUUGCAACACAGCAACAAAAAAAAUGUAAGGAAUAAAUAACUUUGUUAAAUGGACAGAUGGCAACUGAUGCGUUCCUUUCAUUCCAUGGCAGGACAAAAUAUUUGUGCCCAACUGGUUUGGAGGUUUAAGCACAUCCCACCCCAUCAGCCAGACAGAUGUAAAGAACUUGCAAACCUCUUUCCCGAACUUGAAACGUCACUAUGUUAAAAGUAGAUCCAUACGUUGUUCUCUAUCAUGCAGAAUUGUCAGCUUAUUGUAACAUGAAGCUCAUUCUAAAAUACAGACGAGUGAUUUCUGCCCCAGGGUACUGCACCGUGUGCAUUUUUAUUCCUGCCCAGCAAUCAUGUUAAAUUAUUUAUUGUCUACAAUUUAGACCACAGUAAGUUGAAUGGGGUGUUUGUGAAAGGCUGGAGCAAAAACCUGUAAACUCCUGUCCUCUGUAUAAAAAACCUGUGGCUUUUAUGACAAAAUGUGCCCUCGUGUACUGAACAAGCUUUUGAAUGUUAAUCUCCUUGAUGUGCCUCACUUGGGGAUGAUAAAAGGUUUAUUCUAUUCUACUGAGCCAUUUACUUUAUGUUCGUAUUAUCUUUUAUUAUUUAUUGUUGUUUUAUAGUUGAAGGAACCUGCAAGUAAGCAUUUCAUUGGACCAUGUGUAUCCUGUACAUAGGACUAAUAAAACUUGAAAUUUGACUUCUUUUGUACACUGGACUGUGUUGUAAGAAUUCAUACACAGAUACAGGAAAACCAAUUAAAGGGUCCAUAUUGAUUUUAAAUGACAAGUGUUGUCUCCCCACGGUUUUGAGGCUUACGCAUCUGGGGACUGCAUUUCAUUUGUCUAAUCACCUGC
ensembl:lncRNA